ACUACGGGCGGCUGCAGUGGGGAAUAUUGGGCAAUGGACGCAAGUCUGACCCAGCAACGCCGCGUGAAGGCAGAAGGCUUUCGGGUUGUAAACUUCUUUUAAGGGGGAAGAGCAGAAGACGGUACCCCUUUAAUAAGCCACGGCUCACUACGUGCCAGCAGCCGCGGUACUACGUAGGUGGCAAGCGUUUUCCGGAUUUACUGGGUGUAAAGUGCGUGCAGCCGGGUAGACAAGUCAGAUGUGAAAUCCACGGGCUCAACCCGUGAACUGCAUUUGAAACUGUUUCCCUUGAGUGUCGGAGAGGUAAUCGGAAUUCCUUGUGUAGCGGUGAAAUGCGUAGAUAUAAGGAAGAACACCGAUUGCGAAGGCAUCUCACGAAUCCGCGAUUGACGCUGAUGCACGAAAGCGUGGGUAUCAAUCAGGAUUAGAUACCCGGGUAGUC
rnacentral:rRNA from 1 species